UACGGGGGGGGCAAGCGUUGUUCGGAAUUACUGGGCGUAAAGGGCGCGUAGGCGGCGUGGUAAGUCACUUGUGAAAUCUCCGAGCUUAACUCGGAACGGUCAAGUGAUACUGCUGUGCUAGAGUGCGGAAGGGGCAACUGGAAUUCUCGGUGUAGCGGUGAAAUGCGUAGAUAUCCGGAAGAACACCGGUGGCGAAGGCGGCCUGCUGGGACGUGGCUGACGCUGAGGCGCGACAGCGUGGGGAGCAAACAGG
rnacentral:rRNA from 1 species